rnacentral:rRNA from 1 species
AUUGAACGCUGGCGGCAUGCUUUACACAUGCAAGUCGAACGGCAGCGCGGGCUUCGGCCUGGCGGCGAGUGGCGAACGGGUGAGUAAUACAUCGGAACGUGCCCAGUAGUGGGGGAUAGCUCGGCGAAAGCCGGAUUAAUACCGCAUACGACCUGAGGGUGAAAGCGGGGGAUCUUCGGACCUCGCGCUAUUGGAGCGGCCGAUGGCAGAUUAGCUAGUUGGUGGGGUAAAGGCCUACCAAGGCGACGAUCUGUAGCUGGUCUGAGAGGACGACCAGCCACACUGGGACUGAGACACGGCCCAGACUCCUACGGGAGGCAGCAGUGGGGAAUUUUGGACAAUGGGCGAAAGCUUGAUCCAGCAAUGCCGCGUGUGUGAUGAAGGCCUUCGGGUUGUAAAGCACUUUUGGCGGGAACGAAAAGGACUGUGCCAAUACCACGGUUCGAUGACGGUACCCGCAGAAUAAGCACCGGCUAACUACGUG